AUGAGCGCCGUGAGGUCAAAGUGCAGCGGCGGCCAAUACGGGGAGGCGCAGCGACCGCUCGGGCUCCGCGAGGUCCAGGGGCGGAAGCAGCCAAUACGGCGAGCGGUGCCUGUCCGGCGACCAUACGACCUCCGCGGCGUGCUCGACCUUGCUCCUACACCUCCUACCCGGGCUGGACAUCCCCCCGUGCGUCGUCCCCACCCGCAUCACCAAGCUCCCCAACGGCGUCCGCGACUCCCCGUCGCCUCCGAGGAUUUCCAGGUACUACCCACCUCUCCCUCCCCUCUUCCUUCUGAUGAGUCCAUGGCUGACAGCGGCCACCGUCUCCGAGCUCACGAACACCCAGAUUUGACAGGGAGCAGCACAGGGAUGGCGAUUUUGGUAGCUCUGCUCUGA
rnacentral:rRNA from 1 species